AAUGAAAUAAAAUUAAUUAAUUAUCGUACAUGAAUAAUUUGUUAAGUAAUUGGGAAUCCAAGUACAAAUAUUUUGGUAAUAGGAAAUUAAUACUUGUAAAGAUACAAAACGCAAGCAGCAACAACAACAACAAAUAAUACCCUAAACAGCUGGGAAUCAACGAUCCACUCUAGCCAUCUCGCUCGCACUCGCCGAGUAAAGAGCCCAGCUUGCUAAGCAACAGCAACAGCCAGAGCAAAAAAAUAAAUAAUUUUAUGCAGCAGACAAAAGAGCAGAACAAAUAAGAAUGGCAAGCAUAUGGAGAGCGAUUCUUCAGCUUAGCAUUGACGUUCAUUUUUUUUCGAGUGUUGAGUGUUCUUUUUUCAAUUUUUGAAUGACGCGCGACAUUCGUUUGACGUUGACAGCGCAGUCGCGUUGUAAGCGUGGUAAAUAGUAAUUGCAAUUUAACCCAACAACUAACUAAAAGAUGAAAGUUCCGGUGAGCAACAUUUCCGGACAACACAACAUUGCCAAAAGGUCGGAGGCCCUGAUGAUGGGCUAUACAUUGUAUAAAGAUAAUAUGCCACACACAAGGAAUGUAGGAAAAUAACAAUAGUAAUAGUAAUAUAGUAUAACUUCAAAUUAACACAUUAGAAAUAAUAUAUUUAUGCUUAAAUGGCAUCGCCAAUUUUGUUUGUUAUAUUUAUAAAUAAAAGAAUUUACAUAUGUAAAUAUGUAUGUACAUAGUUAAAA